rnacentral:rRNA from 1 species
CACUUCUAAGGAAGGCAGCAGGUGCGCAAAUUACCCAAUCCUGACUCAGGGAGGUAGUGACAAGAAAUAACAAUAAACCGGCUUAUGCCGGUUUAAUUGGAAUGAGUACAAUUUAAACAUCUUAACGAGGAACAAUUGGAGGGCAAGUCUGGUGCCAGCAGCCGCGGUAAUUCCAGCUCCAAUAGCGUAUACUAAAGUUGUUGCAGUUAAAAAGCUCGUAGUUGGAUUUCUGUGGGGACGGAGCGGCCGGCCGCAACUCGCGGUUCGAGCUAGCGCUUUCCCUACAUCCUGCCGCGAACCGUGCUACCAUUAGUUUGGUGGCGCCGGGGAUCGGCUCGAUUACUUUGAGAAAAAUAGAGUGUUCAAAGCAGGCCACAUGCCUUGAAUAAGUUAGCAUGGAAUAAUAACUAAGGACUUCGGUUCUAUUUUGUUGGUGUUCGGGACUGAAGUAAUGAUUGAUAGGGACAGUUGGGGCGGUCUGUAUUCCAAAGCGAGAGGUGAAAUUCUUAGACCUUCGGAAGACAAACAGCUGCGAAAGCGUUCCGCAAGGAUGUUCCCUUUGAUCAAGAACGAAAGUUGGGGGAUCGAAGACGAUCAGAUACCGUCGUAGUCUCAACCAUAAACUAUGCCAGCUAGGGAUGGGAAGGUGUUUACAAACGACCCUUUCCGCACCUUAUGAGAAAUCAAAGCAUUUGGGUUCCGGGGGGAGUAUGGUCGCAAAGCUGAAACUUAAAGGAAUUGACGGAAGGGCACCACCAGCCGUGGAGCCUGUGGCUUAAUUUGACUCAACACGGGAAAACUUACCAGGUCCAGACAUAGUAAGGAUUGACAGAUUGAUAGCUCUUUCUUGAUUCUGUGGGUGGUGGUGCAUGGCCGUUCUUAGUUGGUGGAGUGAUUUGUCUGGUUAAUUCCGUUAACGAACGAGACCCCAGCCUGCUAAAUAGCGCGCGUGAGCUUUGCUCGCGGCGAGCUUCUUAGAGGGACUAUGAUGCGCGAUAGCACAUGGAAGUUUGGGGCAAUAACAGGUCUGUGAUGCCCUUAGAUGUUCUGGGCCGCACACGGGCUACACUGGCGCCUGCAACGAGCAUAUCAGCUGGCCCGAGAGGGUCUUGGCUAAUCUUUUGAACCGGCGCCGUGCUUGGGAUUGACCUUUGCAAUUGUUGGUCAUGCAACGAGGAAUGCCUUGUAAACGCGAGUCAUCAGCUCGCAUUGAAUACGUCCCUGCCCUUUGUACACACCGCCCGUCGCUCUUACCGAUGAAUGUUCCGAUGAAAUUUUCGGAGAGCACCUGUGAACUUGGCUCUGCCUUGCGAACGGGAGGCUCAAAGUCACUUAAAUCUGAACAUUUCGAGG